GUGCUCGCUUCGGCAGCACACAUAUUAAAACUGGAACAAUACAGAGAAGAUCAGCACAGUCCCUGUGCAAGUAUGACACGCAAGUAUGAAGCGUUCCAUACUUAA